UGCAACGCAGCAGGUCAUUCUUUUAUACUCUUGUUUGUAUGCAUUUUAAACGCGCUUCAUUGCGCACUAGGUGAUUCAUUCCAAUAGUUAACUCGCGCAGCGUGGGCGGAGUCUCGUACCUGUGCACGUGAGUGCAUGUUUGUGCGGUUUGGGUGCAAACAAAACAAUGGAUUAUCAUUAUUUACCAAGAAAUGUGGAUGUAUGGGGUCAUUUCGAUAAAGCAAUACUGAGUGUUUACGCUGCAGAAAACUUUGAUGAGCAACACUACGAUCCCCAAAUAAACAGAUGAGGAAGAGGAGGAUGAUGACGCUCCAACGUACAAUGAGAAAGUAAUCAAGAGAAGUGGCAUCGCUGAAGAAAUGGCAGAUGUCCUCAGACACCUGUGAACACUGAGCAGUGCUUGGAGUCCAAGACAGUGGACAUCAUCUUUAUUAUACCGGUACUUCUCUGACUGGACUAGCAAGGAGCAGAGCCAAUGAGAAAGUUGAGUCAACAAACACCAGGUGCUUUUGAUGGACAGGGGAUCCAUCAGUGUUUGCCCAGCUUCCAGUGAAUAUUGGCGAAAUUGGAUUCGGAGUGACAAUUGAAGAGGGAGCUGGGGGCCGGCAGUUGGGUCAUUAAUGACCUCUCCAUAACAGGUGUCUCGCCUAUCUGACAGAAAGGAGGAGGAGAAGGUACGGAAUGUAUUUACAGGUCUGUAGUGGAGAAACCACAGAGCACUUCUCAGGAGAUGACACUGUCACUCAGUGUCAUCCAAACUCAUUUACUGUGUCAUUUACUGUUGUCUCCAAGAGAGCCGAGACCGGGCUCCCAGUUGCGGUCAGGCUGGAAGAUAUCCUCAAACUGAUAAGAUGUGUCAGGAUGAUGUUUUAUUUUGGGGUUUUAGGCACAGUGUGAAACCAUGUCCAUGUUGUCAAGGACUGAACUUUCUGGAGUUUGUGAAAAGCACAGCCUGCUUUCUCUUUUAGUUGUCAUGUGAUGUAGAUAGAAUUAGCGAUGC